AAUCAGGAAGCUUGUUAACUCAAUCUUGCAUGCUUAUAAAGUUGUGCAGAAUCACGAAUCAUCAACACGAGGUGUAAGCGGUCGAAGAUCUAGUCGUAUCAUAGAUUGUACGGGAAUGUGUGAUUAUGUAAUUUAGUAAACAUAAUUUAUGAUUUAUUUCUUUAAUGAGAACGGAGAAUGUAUUUAUUGUAAAGGAGUUAUUUUAAAAUGGAUGUUCAAGUGUGUCAAGAUGUUUAAUAAAGAAAGAAAUUUUUAAGGCUC